GCUGGCGGCGUGGAUUAGGCAUGCAAGUCGAACGCGAAAGGGACUAGAACGAUUCUUCGGAAAAGGGAAGGUCCCCGGUAGAGUGGCGAACGGGUGAGUAGCGCGUGGGCAACCUACCCUAAAGUUGGGGAUAACACUCCUAACGGGGUGCUAAUACCGAAUGUGGCCACGAGUACACAAGUGCACGUGAUUAAAGGCAGCCUCUGCUUGCAAGCUGUCGCUUUAGGAUGGGCCCGCGUCCCAUUAGCUUGAUGGUGAGGUAACGGCUCACCAUGGCUCUGAUGGGUAGCUGGUCUGAGAGGAUGGUCAGCCACACUGGGAUUGAGAUACGGCCCAGACUCCUUCGGGAGGCAGCAGUCGAGAGGCUUUGGCAAUGGGGGAAACCCUGACCAAGCGACGCCGCGUGGGUGAUGAAGGCCUUCGGGUUGUAAAGCCCUGUCAUAGGGGAAGAAAAGCGACGGUGUUAAU
rnacentral:rRNA from 1 species